rnacentral:tRNA from 1 species
GCCCGAGUGGCGAAAUUGGUAGACGCAAGGGACUUAAAAUCCCUCGACCUCAUGGUCAUGCCGGUUCGAUUCCGGCCUCGGGCA